rnacentral:rRNA from 1 species
UACAGAGGGGGCAAGCGUUGUUCGGAAUUACUGGGCGUAAAGGGCGCGUAGGCGGCCUGCUAAGUCGAACGUGAAAUCCCUGGGCUCAACCCAGGAACUGCGUCCGAUACUGGUUGGCUUGAAUCCGGGAGAGGUGAGUGGAACUGCGAGUGUAGAGGUGAAAUUCGUAGAUAUUCGCAAGAACACCAGUGGCGAAGGCGGCUCACUGGCCCGAUACUGACGCUGAGGCACGAAAGCGUGGGGAGCAAACAGG